CCGGAGAAGCAAGAAAAUGUUACCACAAUUUCACCAGAAGUUGCUUCCAGCCAGUCCUUGUUCUGACCCAAACAGAAUCCAGGAACCAGGAGAGGUGGAAUUUGAAACUGAGGAAAAUUAUACAGCAGAAAAGAAAGUAGAGGAAAGAGUGGAAGGUGAGGCAGAAUCC